GGAAAAAGAAACAGCGUCGAAACUUUUCGCCAAAAUUCAGAAGCUUGUUCCUGUUCCAUUGCGUGAGCGUUUUUUCACAGAUUGGUGAGGCAGUAGGAAUGCCAAGAAAGUAACUUUAAACGGUAUCCGUGUAGUCGUCUACUUCUUAGUGGUCUCGAGACUUCAGUGCAUAUUUAAUGGCAUUUGUGAAAGCACACGCAGCUUGAUUGGCAAGCAGAUGAUGUCAUCUACGUCUGGGCUGCGAAAGUGGAUUUUCUAGGAGUACCUCCUACAGGUGGACAACCGGGCUUAAUCGCUGCCCCAAGAAUUAAUCAAAAUUCAUGUAGCAUACCAUCCCACAUCUCCCAGAAUACAGCAAAUGCAAUUAGGCUGAGCUGUUUCUCCUACGGGUAAUACGUAAGAGUU
rnacentral:sRNA from 1 species